ensembl:lncRNA
UUAGACGCACUCUUCUUGCUGACUUUGACCUCCUUUCACACAGCAUAGCUUUCUCUUACAUCUGUAACAGGAGCAUGGUAGGUGCGGGAUCGUCCUCAUGUAAAGGAGCACAGGAAAGCUAAGUCCCAGUGGAGUGACUCCCUCUCCACCUGCCCCACGGGUCAUAAAAGAGCAACUGGUUUUGUAAGAAGGCACUGCACGUGGUGGGAAGGGGGGUGUCCAGGGGAGCCAUAGAGGAUUUGGGAUCUAAAGGCUGUGGGUGGCCCCCCAGUCACCCCAUUUAUUAACCUGGGCCACCCUCAGCUGCCCGCACCUGCUCAGUGGAACAGGACACACGUGGUACAUUCACAUGAGGAGCAGCUGUUCAGUCCUGGGCUCUGAAGUCGCUCCAACUGAGCCAAACUCUACCUGUGCUUCUUACAGACUAGGGGACCUUGGGCAGGCACCUUCCAUCUCUGAGCCUCAUUUUGGACAAUUACAACAGGACCCCCCCGUGGGCUUAGAGGCUUAUAUGAUGAUUCAAGAGAUGACGUGCAAGCAUUUAGCCACUCCACAUAACCCUGCGAAUGGCAACUGCUCAAGACAUUUUCGCUUCUGUUGUUGUCAUUGAUGUUCUGUGGUUGUUGCCCCAGAGGUGGUGGCUGAUCUCUGGACACACUGCGCUCUUUCCCACCAAUGUCCCCCAACAGGUCCCAGUGCAGUUCUCCAAACUUCAAGGCACUGGUGGGGCUCGCAGACUUGGACAGCUGGCGGGGAUUACCACGUCAUCAUUGCUCACAGGUGCUCACAGGCCUGUUUCCUCCCCAAGCCCCCACUUGCGGCCUUGCUUGCUAGAACACACACGACGACUCUUUGCUGGGAGAAUCCUGCCUAGAGGCAGGGGAGUGAACCAGAUGACCUUUUGACCUCACUCCCCACCCUGACUUCAGGGUUCAGGAUCACCCAGCAUGCUCUGGGGCCAAUGAAACGAGCCAUUCUCUCCGGAAAUGGGAGGUUAUGCAGCUUGAGCAGCGUUCCACAGCUCCCAGGGGUUUUCAGAUAAGCUUUGCUCCGGGCUCUUUUCUCUCCAGGACUUGUGGAAAUCUCUGGGUCUGUUUGACAUCAACUUGUGUCCUCCUGAUCCCACCAAUGACCUUCCAUUGACCUUUGGAUGCUGGCGAGAAAACGUCAUUUUUCCCCUAACCCGUUGAACUCUCAGAAAUGACAGGGUGGUGGAGGCUGGCCUGGCUGUCCCCGCCGUCGCCGUGGCAUAGAGAAGGCGCCCACACCCAGCCCCUCACACCGAAAAUGAAGUGAGGUCUUCCUGAGAGGGUUUCUCCUGCGGGGCACGGGAAGAGCGAGCAGGAAGGCCGCGGGGCGGCCGAUAGGACACCUAGAGGAAGGGGAGGAAAUGGCCAGCGGAGUCUAGACGCGUUAUCUUGCCCCCCGUGCGGGCACCGGCCCACGCUCGUCCAUCGUUCCUGGAGCCGACUUCCUGCUGCAGGAUUUACGCCAAUGACUUCACCCUCUUGCUAUCUCGGCAGUCCCGCUGCUGCCCGCUCCGGGCUCUCAGGAAUUAGGGGCCAGAUAACAAGUCUAGACAGCUCAGAAGUUUUAAAUGGAUUAUUCUCCAGGGGGCGGAGGAUGGCCAGUGACCGCUCUGGGGACCGGACCACUUUCCGACUCCCUCUGCCUGCUCCCCCACCCCCACUGCCCGGAGGUUGAAAGCAGGCACCGAAGAGUCACAGGCCGCAGGGUCCGCUCCUCCCGGCUGUCAGUGGAAGCUCCACACCCCGCCCCGGGUCCCGUUUCAGGGAGGAUCCUAGGGGCUGCCUCGGCAGAGCUGGAUGAAACCCAAAGGGCACUCGAGUUCAAAAACCAAGGGCCCUGGGAACCCCGAGCAGGUCCUGCUCCCAGCCCAGGUGCAGCAGCCCCACUCGCACCUUGGUCUCAGACGUGGGGCCUCCUGACUGCGGGAGACAACCUUGCGGCUGUCCAAGCCCCCAGAUAGCGAACUAAUACACAGCCGCCUUCCUGAAGGACAGGGCUGGGCGCAGGAGUGCCUGGGAACCUUAGGAAAGAGGUCACCCCUAAAUUGUAAGUGGCUCCUCAGGCUCCCAGCAGCAGAGCUUCCGUGGAGUCGUCCAAGCCACGAAGCUGCCACGUCAGCAGCUCACAGCUGGUGGGGAGGUGAGGGGAGUGACUCCGUGGAGACCGGGGGUUCGUCAGCUCAGGACACGGCUGUAGCAUCGCUGCUGGUGCCCGGCCUUGGCAGGCAUCAUCCUGGACACAGCCGUGGCUUCCUCUGGCGCCUGCAGCCUCUCGCGGGAGCGUUUUCUGCUGGGGGCACAAGCAUGGCCUGAGCGCAGACAGGCAGGCCAGAACUGCCAGGAACCACUGUCCUUGGGAGCAGUUCUCAACCAGGGAGAGUAGGUGGGCAACGUCCUGGCGCCCUGGCUGAGCAGCUGAGAAACUCCAAGGGGUGAUCCACAGUCCCCUCGAGCUCCCACCACGGUCACAGGGCCAAGAAGGCACUGGGCACUGGCCCUUUCUCUUCCCGCUCUCCUUUCCUGAUGUCCCCUGAGGUCGCCUCUCAAACAGACCCCUCGCACCCAACCUUGACCCUGGUCUGCCUGGGGUAGGGGGUUGCGGAUCCAAACCAAGACAAUAGGAGGGUACAACCCACAGCACAGAGAGAUGGGAGGAGGAGACACAUCUUAGCAGAACACUGAAGGGCUGACCCUGGUAGGAGCUGACUUCUCUGGGCGCCUCAGAUAGAACCUCGGUCUCCAGAUUAAAACCAGCCUGACGGGCAGGUGUGAAGGCAGAAGUGGCUAUUAAUAGUGCUCACCAAUAUCCAUUCUCCUCUCAGCUGAUAAUACUAACUGUAACUAGGCAUGAUUGUCCCUCCCAAAGACCCACCACCCUGGAGCCUGUUCUUACUAAAGGUGCAGAGUGUGCAGGUGUGAGCCCACGGCUAGGUUCCGGCCAGCGGGGUGGGGGCCCAGUGACGUCCCGCCCCAGAC